rnacentral:rRNA from 1 species
GACGAACGCUGGCGGUAUGCUUAACACAUGCAAGUCGAACGAGAAGUUUUUUAUUGAACCUUCGGGGGAUAUAAGAGACAGACAGUGGCGAACGGGUGAGUAACGCGUGGGCAACCUACCUAUCGGAGCGGGAUAGCCUCGAGAAAUCGGGAGUAAAACCGCAUAACACGGAUAUAUCGCAUGAUGAAUCCGUCAAAACUCCGGUGCCGAUAGAUGGGCCCGCGUCUGAUUAGCUAGUUGGUAAGGUAAGGGCUUACCAAGGCAACGAUCAGUAGCCGGUCUGAGAGGGCGAACGGCCACACUGGAACUGAGACACGGUCCAGACUCCUACGGGAGGCAGCAGUGGGGAAUAUUGCGCAAUGGGGGCAACCCUGACGCAGCAAUACCGCGUGAGUGAAGAAGGUUUUCGGAUCGUAAAGCUCUGUUAUUGGGGAAGAAGCAGGACGGUAC